ensembl:lncRNA
UUGACUUCCCAGGUUGAUAGGAUGAAGUCCACUUUUUCUACAUCAUGGUUCUGCUCACAGGAGAUCUCGCUAUGAACGAAGGAAAAAACUAUUCGUGCUCCAACUACACUCAGUCGAUGUGGAUGGUGCAAGAUGCUGGAUGGAAGUUGUCAAUGAGCAGUUUAAGACGGAGAACCUCAGCACUAUUUUCAAAUCUGUGGAGAAACGAGAAAGGGUUCUUGGAAACACAGCAUUGAAUGAGACGACUUCAAUCAUUGUUGAGAGGCUUGUGGCCCACAUAUUCAGGGCUGAGGGUAACAUCAGACAGUGACCAUGUGGCCAACACUACCGUCAAGGUCCACCUACCCAAAAGAGCUCCUGAUAGCCAAAGAGAACGAUACCAUCAUCUUCUGCAUGAUUACCUCACCUGAAAAAUAUGGGGUAGGUGUGUGUG